rnacentral:misc_RNA from 1 species
AACCAUUCUCACCUGCGGCUAGACCUGCGGAAGGAUCAUUACAGAGUUAUCCAACUCCCAAACCCAUGUGAACUUAUCUCUUUGUUGCCUCGGCGCAAGCUACCCGGGACCCCGCGCCCCGGGCGGCCCGCCGGCGGACAAACCAAAACUCUUGUUAUCUUAGUUGAUUCUCUGAGCGUCUUAUUUAAUAAGUCAAAACUUUCAACAAUGGAUCU